UCCCAAGCGGCUUAGUGGUAAAGAAUCUGCCUGCCUAUGCAGGAGACUCAGGGGAUGAGGGUUCGAUUCCUGCCUUGGGAA
rnacentral:tRNA from 1 species